rnacentral:rRNA from 1 species
GUCUACGGCCAUGCCACCCUGAACAAGCUGGAUGGCUGAUCUUGGAAGCUAAGCAGGGUCAGAUAUAGUUAGUACUUGUAUGGGAGACCACCUAGGAAGACCAGAUGCUGUAGGCG